UAGGGAAUAUUGGGCAAUGGGCGAAAGCCUGACCCAGCAACGCCGCGUGCACGAUGAAGGUCUUCGGAUCGUAAAGUGCUUUUCUGAGAGAUGAGAAAGGACAGUAUCUCAGGAAUAAGUCUCGGCUAACUACGUGCCAGCAGCCGCGGUAACACGUAGGAGGCAAGCGUUAUCCGGAUUUACUGGGUGUAAAGCGCGUGCAGGCGGUUCGGUAAGUUGGAUGUGAAAGCUCCUGGCUCAACUGGGAGAGGUCGUUCAAAACUGCCGGACUUGAGGACAGUAGAGGGAGAUGGAAUUCCCGGUGUAGUGGUGAAAUGCGUAGAUAUCGGGAGGAACACCAGUGGCGAAAGCGGUCUCCUGGACUGUCUCUGACGCUCAGACGCGAAAGCUAGGGUAGCAAACGGG
rnacentral:rRNA from 1 species